rnacentral:lncRNA from 1 species
AAUAAAGGCAGUAUCCUCAUCAGUGGCUCUUUGUAUUAGAAAGACAUAGUGAAUGCCCCGGCAGGGCAUGAAGUUGGUGUCCAUAACCAGUUACAGAGAUAAUAAUCCCUACCCCAUAAAGAUGCCAUGAGAACAUCUGAGAUAACAUUUUUAAAUUGCCGAGCAUCUAGUCAGCACUCCAUAAAUGAUGCUGGUGGUAGUCAUUAGUGCCAUUCUCCAAAUGUUUGCAGUUCUCUUUCCAAGCACAUGGUAGAAUCCUACUUCCCCACCUUCUUGAAACUGGACAUGGCCGUGAUUUGCUUUGGCCAAAUCAAUGAGACCAGAAGUGAUGUGCCUCUCCUUAAUGGAGGCUUUAAGAGGUCAUGUGUAAUUCUCCACAUUCUCUUCUUCCUGCUUCAGCAAUCAUAGCAGCAAUAAGGUGGAAUCAUGACCAGCCUGGGU